UAUCUGUCCCCAGUGGAUGCAGUCCCUUUGGAAAGGUCACACAUCAGAACAACAGUUGAGAUUAUGUAACAGUGCAAAGCAGUCGACCAACACCAAGCCGCCACCUGUUCAUCUGUGUGGAAAGGGGGAGGUAACUACGCACAGCUAGGGUAGAGAAGUAAAACAGAAAACGAAACAGCGAACUCUUUGAUAAGUAAUCUCAGGAGAUAGGUAUAUGUGGCCUGAAACAGAAGCAGUCUGCUUCAUUUAAAAGAGAGACGUUCAUCCGGACUAACAUAAAAACUCCUUAUCAAACACCUUAUCGGGAGCCUACUGAAAGAGCCAGAAGCCUUCUUGAAAUGCAAUGGUCCUUACCUAAGUUCAAAGACCGCCAGGACCCUCAUUUCACACGUGAUAGGUUAUAGAAAACACUUGGGGAGUACUAUAAAUAUUGAAUGCCACAGAAACAACUGAUUCCAUCCGGAAGAGGCUGAGAGCUGAAGAAGGUGGUGUGCAGAAUUUGAAAAGCAAUACCAAAAGAAGCCGAUAGGUGGAGACCUGCGCUGGCUCAGUGGGUCAAGGCCUGAGUCUGAUCCCUGGACCCCAGAGAGGUAGAAGAGAACUGAUGGCUGAGGGUUAACCCCUGACCUCCACAUGCAGUCUGUGGCACCUGUAAGCUCACACUCACGCGCGUCAUGAGCGUGCGUGCACACACAAAUAAUAAAAUAAAUUUUAAAAACAUUGA